GGAGAAUAUAAAUAUAGAGGUCAGGCUUUAUUCUUUAAAAUCCCUUAUAGUCUAGGUCCAAGAGCCUAUGAUGUUUGACAGUUUCUCUCCCAAUUCUUCUACCAUUAUUCCAGGAGGAAUAAAAUCUCGUUGAAGCUCUUCUUGGCCCACUACUGGAACCAGUUGUUUGGCAGACUAUAGGUGUCACUGCUGCACAUGUCAUGGAUCAUGGGAAAUCAUGCUUAUUGCCUUCUUUCAUGAAAAGGUCCUCUGACUCCCGUGGCACCAUCCAUUCCACGCCAUCCCCCGGACCAAAUGCUAGCAAUAAAUAAUGCUUCUUUCCCC
rnacentral:lncRNA from 1 species